rnacentral:rRNA from 1 species
UACAUGGGGUGCAAACGUUGCUCGGAAUUAUUGGGCGUAAAGCGCGCGUAGGCGGUUAUCUAAGUCGGAUGUGAAAGCCCUCGGCUUAACUGAGGAAGUGCACCCGAAACUGGAUAGCUAGAGUACGAAAGAGGGUCGCGGAAUUCCCGGUGUAGAGGUGAAAUUCGUAGAUAUUGGGAAGAACACCGGUGGCGAAGGCGGCGACCUGGUCCUUGACUGACGCUGAGGCGCGAAAGCGUGGGGAGCAAACAGG